CUCCACAGGGAUCGCCACUGCUGGUUGAGCUCCACUGUUUCAAGGGUUCUCCACCUGCACGAGAAAGCUGCACAUCUGCACCUCCUUGGUCGUGGAGUCCAAGGUGGUUCCCAGCUGCCCAUGAAGUCCUCUUCAGAGGACUGACAAGCUGGAGAUGGAAACUACAUUUGGAGUCCUGCUCUGGGAGGGAAAACGGAAAAACAAGACACUGCCCCCAGAUGCAUCCAGGCGGGAGCUCAUUUCCAUCCCAAAUUGGCUCCAGAGGGCGAAAGCUUCUGGGAGAUACCAGGUUCCUUCUGCAGGAUGAGAAAAUCAGUUCAACAAUCCUCUACCCACACCUCAUCCCUGAACUUUGGAUUUCAUCUUCAGCAUCAUCAAGAGGCAACCAACAAAUCUUUGUUUGUAUACCACAAGUGAUGGCAAGCUCAUUACACUGCAAAUUUCUCAUUCAGCUUCUGAGCACCAGGAUACCAUCAUUUUGCUCCAUCGUUGGAGCUGAUGUUGGUUCCCCUACGGGCUACCCUCAUGAGGAUGGAGCUUGGCUCACCAAUUCAGUCGGGCAGAGGUUUACAAACCAAGUUCAUUUAA
rnacentral:lncRNA from 1 species